UACGAAGGGGGGCUAGCGUUGUUCGGAAUUACUGGGCGUAAAGCGCGCGCAGGCGGUCCUUCAAGUCAGAGGUGAAAGCCCAGAGCUCAACUCUGGAACGGCCUUUGAGACUAGAGGACUUGGGUACGGGAGAGGUGAGUGGAAUUCCGAGUGUAGAGGUGAAAUUCGUAGAUAUUCGGAAGAACACCAGUGGCGAAGGCGGCUCACUGGCCCGUUACCGACGCUCAGGCGCGACAGCGUGGGGAGCAAACAGG
rnacentral:rRNA from 1 species